UGAGGAACAUGACUUUCGGCGGGGGAUAGCCGGCCCAACGGCCGGGUAAUACCGCGUACGACCUUUUGGGGACAUCCCCGAUUGGUGAAAGCAGCAAUGCGCCGAAAGAGUGCCUCGCGGCCUAUCAGCUAGUUGGUGAGGUAACGGCUCACCAAGGCGACGACGGGUAGCUGGUCUGAGAGGAUGGCCAGCCACAUUGGGACUGAGACACGGCCCAGACUCCGUAGGGAGCAGCAGG
rnacentral:rRNA from 1 species